AAGAAAAAGAAAAAGAAAAAGGUUCAGGAGCCUGUCACAUAUGAACUUUAUGUAUCUGUCAUCUUUGCAAUCUCCACCGAGUAACAUGGAGAAAUCCUGGUUUAUCUCUCCUUCAGCUGGUAUCUGACCGAUGACGCUCACGUUCAGAUGCAAACGGGCUCUCAGGAAGAUUAACUCCUUGGUUGCUGCGUGGGUUCAAAAACAAGAAACCAAAGAUCCAUAUCAGAGAUUCAGCCUUUUCUUUUUCUUUUUUUUUUGCGUGUAGAACUGAGAUGAUCUAGUUCUUCCCUGAUAAAGCUAGUCACUGCUGCAUUUAUACAAAGUUUCUAUUUUUUAUGACCA